AUUGAACGCUGGCGGCAUGCCUUACACAUGCAAGUCGAACGGCAGCACGGGAGCAAUCCUGGUGGCGAGUGGCGAACGGGUGAGUAAUAUAUCGGAACGUGCCCAGUCGUGGGGGAUAACGUAGCGAAAGCUACGCUAAUACCGCAUACGACCUAUGGAUGAAAGCGGGGGAUCGCAAGACCUCGCGCGAUUGGAGCGGCCGAUAUCAGAUUAGGUAGUUGGUGAGGUAAAGGCUCACCAAGCCGACGAUCUGUAGCUGGUCUGAGAGGACGACCAGCCACACUGGGACUGAGACACGGCCCAGACUCCUACGGGAGGCAGCAGUGGGGAAUUUUGGACAAUGGGCGCAAGCCUGAUCCAGCAAUGCCGCGUGCAGGAUGAAGGCCUUCGGGUUGUAAACUGCUUUUGUACGGAACGAAACGGUGAGCUCUAAUACAGUUUGCUAAUGACGGUACCGUAAGAAUAAGCACCGGCUAACUACGUGCCAGCAGCCGCCGUAA
rnacentral:rRNA from 1 species